GAUGAACGCUGGCGGCGUGCUUAAUACAUGCAAGUCGAACGGUGAAGGUGGGAGCUUGCUCCUGCUGGAUCAGUGGCGAACGGGUGAGUAACACGUGAGUAACCUGCCCCGGACUCUGGGAUAAGCGUUGGAAACGACGUCUAAUACCGGAUACGAGACGAGAAGGCAUCUUCAUCGUCUGGAAAGAUUUUUUGGUCUGGGAUGGACUCGCGGCCUAUCAGGUUGUUGGUGAGGUAAUGGCUCACCAAGCCUACGACGGGUAGCCGGCCUGAGAGGGUGACCGGCCACACUGGGACUGAGACACGGCCCAGACUCCUACGGGAGGCAGCAGUGGGGAAUAUUGCACAAUGGGCGAAAGCCUGAUGCAGCAACGCCGCGUGAGGGACGACGGCCUUCGGGUCGUAAACCUCUUUUAGUAGGGAAGAAGCGAAAGUGACGGUACCUGCAGAAAAAGCACCGGCUAACUACGUGCCAGCCGCCGCCGUAA
rnacentral:rRNA from 1 species